GAUGAAGGAACGUAGCGAAAUGCGAUAAGUAAUGCGAAUUGCAGAAUUCAGUGAAUCAUCGAAUCUUUGAACGCACAUUGCGCCCGCCAGUAUUCUGGCGGGCAUGCCUGUCCGAGCGUCAUUUCAACCCUCGAGCCCCUCCGGGGGGUCGGCGUUGGGGAUCGGCCCUCCCUCGCGGGGGCCGCCCCCGAAAUGCAGUGGCGGUCCCGCCGCAGCCUCUCCUGCGCAGUAGUUUGCACAACUCGCACCGGGAGCGCGGCGGGCCCACGCCGUAAAACGACACAACCUUCUGGAAAUGUUGACCUCGGAUCAGGUAGGAAUACCCGCUGAACUUAAGCAUAUCAAUAAGCGGAGGA
rnacentral:misc_RNA from 1 species